rnacentral:lncRNA from 1 species
AAAAGGUAUUUAUAAUGAAGGAGAAAAACUCUUUAAUUCUUAUGCUUGAAAAAUAGCACAAAGUGGGUUGGCAUGUGUCAUUUCCUGAGAUGAGAGAUCGAAACAAUCUGAUACACUUAGCCACGCCACCCUACGGAGGCGCAACCGUGAUGAUGGAAGUUAUGGGUUAGUGGGAAAUCCAUGUUUUCGAGGUGACUAAAGAUGUAAAGGUCAUGAUGCCCAUGACGUCAGCCCACUGGCCGAAUAGUGUUUAAGAAAGUAAAAAACGCCCUUAUCUC